GAUGAACGCUGGCGGCGUGCCUAAUACAUGCAAGUCGAACGGGUGUAGCAAUACAUUAGUGGCGAACGGGUGAGUAACACGUUGGUGACCUGCCCUAAAGAGGGGAAUACCACUUCGAAAGGAGUGACAAAACCGCAUACGCUUUUGUUAGUUAGAGAGACAAAAGGAAAAGUGCAAACUACUUUAGGAGGGGCCUGCGGCCCAUCUGCUAGUUGGUGAGGGUAAAAGCCCACCAAGGCGAAGACGGGUAGGGGACCUGAGAGGGUGAUCCCCCACAAUGGAACUGAACCACGGUCCAUACAACUGCGGGUGGCAGCAGUAGGGAAUAUUGCUUAAUGGGCGAAAGCCUGAAGCAGCAACGCCGCGUGAACGAAGAAGGCCUUCGGAUCGUAAAGUUCUUUUAGGUGGGAUGAGGAAGGACAGUACCACCAGAAUAAGUCUCGGCUAACUACGUGCCAGCAGCCGCGGUAAAAC
rnacentral:rRNA from 1 species